rnacentral:lncRNA from 1 species
UUCUCGGGCAGGUGUGUCAUUUCUGGCCCCGCACUGGGGGAGCUCCCUCUUCGUCCCCUGUCCUCCCAGAGGGAGCCUGUGGCUCGGCUCAGCCCUGCCCCCUCUGCCGGGCCUUUGACAGCAUCACCCCCCGAGCUUCUGGUCCUUUCAGCCAGCAGGUCUCACUGUGCUCCCGCCUCUGGGCAGCGCUCUGGUCCUGGGGGGCCCGGGCGUGGCCCGACCUGGUCAGGGGGUCCCGACGGCUGGAGGGGCCGCUCCCUCCCCGGCCCCUUCUCCAGGGUGAGGCCGCCCCUGGGGUUCUGGUCACCUCGGGUGCCCUGGGGUGGCCCCACUGCAGGGUUGGCUGUUAUGGUCAGUUUGGCUGAAAGGGGCUCCCGAGGAUGAGGACGAGGGCGGGCAGCUCAGGAGUCACCUGGCCCAGGCCUGGCCGCACCCGACGGGGUCCUGCCGGCUGCUCUGCCUCGGUCGGAAGCAAUCCCGGGGCAGAGUGUCCUCGUCCUGUCCACGACCGUAAACCCCCACGUCGCGACACACACGUCCCCCCAAACCACGCGCACCACACCCCCGUGACUCGCACUCUGCAGCGCCCGCGCCCCCCGCGCCCGCCGCCCCGGCCGCGCCGUCCUCUCCGCUCUGUGACGCCCGACGGUCAGCCAACCCCCCGGCCCCGCUGGUCCCAUCUGCGAAAUGGCAGCGCAGCGCCUUCCUGCAGUCGUGGGGAGACCCGCCCACCCCGGCAGGGCCGGCCCGGGGCCCCCGUGUGGGACUCCCCAAGUGUCACCAUAGCUGCUGCCCCCCGGCCUAGGCCUCUCCGUCCCCUGCUGGGCACCCCGGGUCCACCGGGCUCGUCCCUGGAACUGGAUUAGGUCAAGCGCCUGCCCCAAGCACCUUCCCCUGCGCGGCUUCCUAGCGCCGUGGACGCUGAUGGCGUCUGGUGCUUAAGCGGAGGUCAGAACCGCCCGGAACGCAACAACGUGGGGCUGUGACCGAGUCCUGGGGAGGAGGCAAGUGGCCCUGGCUGCGGCACGGGGUCAAACAGGACAAACCCGGUCAAACCCUUUGGCUCCGUUGUUUGCUAAGAAAACACACACAAGACAGAACCACAUGAGCCUUCCCGUCUUUUAUAAAUUUUUUUAUUUCUAUUCAUUUAUUCACAAGAGACAGAAAGAGAGAGAGAGAGAGAGAAGCAGAGACACAGGCAGAGGGAGAAGCAGGCUCCACGCAGGGAGCCCGACGCAGGACUCGAUCCCAGGACCCCAGGGUCGCGCCCGGAGCCCAAGGCAGACGCCCCACCGCUGAGCCCCUGGGCGCCCCUAUCCUUUCCUCUUAAAGACUCACUUCCUACAGGAAGCCCUCCUCGACCUUCCAAGCUCGUCUCAGGCUUCCGUUUGUUGGUUUUCCUGCAGCCGGCAGCACAGCCGCCGCCCUGGAGUGGCUUCAGCUGCGAAGCCGUCACUCACAGCCAUUGGAGGGCCAACUCCUGUGAGUAAUUUGCCUUUUUAAAAAAAGAUCAAGCGGAGCGGAUUGAAUGUUCCCUCUCUAAUAAGGUC